UGUCAGUACUCAAACCACCAGUAGCAGGCUUAGGACUAGAGUUUGCCAGUCAGACCACUACACCUUUGCCAGCACCACCACCCAGCAAGCUUCAUCAACUCCAGCCAUGCCGAGUUUACCAGUCAGACAUACACCUCUGUCAAAUUCGCUCACAAUGCUGCCAGUAACACCCCAGCAAGGUAGAACUGCAUUUUCAUUAAUCUGGCACCAAUAUCAAGGGAGAAACAAGCCAUGAAUGUCUGUCACAACUUCUUUGCAUCUUUA